UUGGUACGGUGUGUUUUGGAUGCGUUUUAAGUCAAUUUAGGUGAGUUUUGGAGUAUUUUAAGUGUGUUUGAGGAUAUUUUGGUGCUUUUUCGAUGUGUUUAGGUUGUUUUUUUGUGCGUUUAGGAAUGUUCUGGGUAUGUUUAAGGUGUUUUAAGGUGUUUUAGUGUGAUUGGACUUGCUUUUGAGUUGUUUUGGUUAUGUUAUAGGCAUGUUGCAGGUAAGAAUGGGGUCUUUGAGGGUAGAAGUGGUGUGCUUGAGGUAAAAUAAAAGAUUCUGGAGUGUUUUUGAGAGAGGCUGUGAUAGUAGAAGCGUGUCAGGGGUGUUAUAGCGUAUGUUGUGAUAUAUGAAACUACUAGAUGCAAGUGUGUGACCACCACCACCACCACCACCACCAGCACAGUGGAAAAAAGGGACUUUACACUAAGGCUGGUUACUGUGUACACGAAUGUGGUGGUACAAAUACUGAAUUCAGCUCACCAAUCUAGCUCUGAGAGCAACGGCAACCCUCCGAUCCGGCAGGCAAGUUGGCGGCAGCGAUGGCGGUGGCGGCGGCAGCGGUGGUGAGGUGGACGGCAGGGACAGAGGGGCAGUACAGGCUGCGGACAUCAAGGAGAAGAGGAACGCACGGACAAGCAAGGUGGCACUCGGCAGUCUGAUCCUGGACCUGCGCAGCUUGACGGUGGUGGUGCCUCUGUCUCCUGCUCUCCUUGACUAUUACCCCAAGCAUGACUCCAGCGGCUUGUAUUCCUCUGUGUGGUAAUAAGUCUGUGUGGCUUAUUACCAGCAUAUCAUCCACGUCCCUGCAAGGUUCCAUUCUGUCUUGUCUGGUGGGCCUAAUGAUGAUGAUUCCUGCUUUCAUCCUCAUCGGGGCUAACGAGACCAACCUGGGGCUGUACUCUGGACUGACGCUGUAUGCCAUAGAGACCGGCGUGCCCUUGUGUCUUCCCUGCGGCUGUUGUCCCUGGUCCACGGUCUGAACUUCCAAGCCGGCUGCCGAGUGGGGCGGUUGAACUGCGACGACUUUUACAUCCCAGAAAUUGCAGAGAAAAUUGAUAUUAGGAAUGAUUACUUGAACUGGAUGAACAGCAGGCUUCACCCGAUGUCCAGGAGGGAGAGUCCAAUCCUGUUCUGUGAGUAUCCAUUCUUGUUCGACCCUCAGGCCAAGACGCUGCUGCUCAGGUGUGACGCCACUCGGCAGGCACUCAAGUUGAUGAUCCAAAGCACAGCAGACGACAGCUUCCUUCCGGUCGCACACACCUGCAUCACCCAACUCAACCUGCCAAAAUACA